AUGAACGCUGGCGGCGUGCCUAAUACAUGCAAGUCGAGCGAACAGAUGAGGAGCUUGCUCCUCUGACGUUAGCGGCGGACGGGUGAGUAACACGUGGAUAACCUACCUAUAAGACUGGGAUAACUUCGGGAAACCGGAGCUAAUACCGGAUAAUAUAUUGAACCGCAUGGUUCAAUAGUGAAAGACGGUUUUGCUGUCACUUAUAGAUGGAUCCGCGCCGCAUUAGCUAGUUGGUAAGGUAACGGCUCACCAAGGCAACGAUGCGUAGCCGACCUGAGAGGGUGAUCGGCCACACUGGAACUGAGACACGGUCCAGACUCCUACGGGAGGCAGCAGUAGGGAAUCUUCCGCAAUGGGCGAAAGCCUGACGGAGCAACGCCGCGUGAGUGAUGAAGGUCUUCGGAUCGUAAAACUCUGUUAUUAGGGAAGAACAAAUGUGUAAGUAACUAUGCACGUCUUGACGGUACCUAAUCAGAAAGCCACGGCUAACUACGUG
rnacentral:rRNA from 1 species